rnacentral:tRNA from 1 species
GCCGGAAUAGCUCAGUUGGUAGAGCAGCUGUUUCGUAAACAGCAGGUCGGAGGUUCAAUUCCUCUUUCCGGCACCA